rnacentral:lncRNA from 1 species
CACUGAGGCUGCUCCCACUCUGGAACAUUGUCCAGCCCCCAGCUGAGACCUGCAAGUCUCCUGAGGUUUGGGUAUCUCUCCCCUGCCCAGCACUGGGGGAACAGUUUUUAACCUGCACUUUUGUUCCCUCUCGUGCCUCUGAUCAGCCCCUGCAGAAGACACAACUCCUGGAGCAGAAGGUGCGUAUGACUUCAGUAUAUUGGGCAGAAUUUCAAGCAUCAGCUUGAGUAAAAUCCUGCUCCACUCCCCCCUGACAGCCCUGGCUUUGGCCACACAAUAAUGGAACAGAGAUUUAAGUGUGCUUUUGUUUUCUCUUUGAAAGUCACGACCGUGCCUACAACACCUGGAACCCCAGCGACAAGUUCACCUGCUGCAUCAGUCCCUUCAACUCCUGAAACAACCACUGCCACUACACAGCUCAUUCCCCUGCCUAAGUACGUGAGGCUGAUGUUGCUGAAAUAUCUAAAUAGCCUGUGCCAGCCAAGGAGACCUGGGAUGCCAGGAAUAACAUUGGAAAGGUGUGUAAAAGACCCAACCUGUGGGAAUAACCCUUCAUCAGGCCAGAGGCUUGUCCAGCUCCGUUACAAUGCUCCUUUAAAGAAUGGAAUGUGCCUACAGUGCAAAGUAUUAGGGUGCAACAUACUCCCUCUUCCUCCUGCCCGACCCUUCCCAGGGAACUUAUUCCCAAUUCCUCUUCCCCGACCCUUCCCAGGGAUCAAGAUCCCUUCUUUCAGACCCUUCCCAGUGAACAGGCUCCCUGCUCCCCAACCCUUCCCAGGCUCCAGGAGAAGAGCCAGAAGCACAAGUGGCGGAGUCGUUGUUGUCGUCGUCCCCAAGUAAUGAUGCUUCUGACCAUGACAUUAUGUUGAGCACCUCUAGACCUGUUCAUUGUGUUCCAAAAUCUGCUGCUUAUUUCUAAAAAUAUACUAGUGGGUGUAAAUCUAAAGGUAUUUAAUCUUAA